UGCUGUUCCUGUGAUAGUGAAUAAGUCUCAUGACUUAUUUGGUUUUAUAAAGGUCAAUUGGUUUUAUAAAGGGCAGUUGCCCUGUUCACACUCUUGUCUGCCACCAUGUAAGACAUGCCUUUGCUCCUCCUUCUGCCAUGAUUGUGAGGCCUCCCCAGCCAUGUGGAACUGUGAGUCCAUUAAACUUCUUUUUCUUUAUAAAUUACCCAAUCUUGAGUAUUUCUUCAUAGCAGUAAGAAAAUGGACUAAUACACCUACUAUGUACCAAGUACUAAAUCUUUGUCAUCCUAUAUAAGCAUCAGGACACCCUUUUUACAAAUGUUACAUAUCUUCUGUUGUUUUGUUUUGUUUCAUUUCGUACCUAUAAGAACACAGUGGUCAUGUGGUCAGUAAGUGACAGAGCCAGGUUCAAACCCACAUAUGUAUGACCCAAAACCUGUAUUCUUUUCACAUCCCUCAUGGCAGAGCAGUGGCAGAGCAAUAACUCUCAGGGAUAGAUAGAUGAGCAUAGAAACAAAAAUGGAAGUAGAAGGUUCGAAAGUAAUAAAGGUAACAACUACCAACGAUAGGCACGCGGGUAAUAGCUUUAGGGUGUGUUGUUUCAGGAACUAUGAGGAUAAUUUGGAGAAGAAAGAGUUGUUAUCAGAAACCAAACCAUCCAUGAGUGGAAAACAAAUCCUGAACUUUGCUAACCCUGAACAGAAUACAAAGGUACGGAGAAAUAAACAUAAACACACAAGAAAGGAGACAGAGCAUUUAUGGAAUUAAAACCAGAUUGGUAAAUAAAUAAAUAAAACCAGAUUGGUUUGCAAGAAGGAUGUAUGCUGUAUGCAGAGCUACUCUUAAUGGAAGCAAAUCAAUUCUCUUAUUACAACGUUGUUGGGAGGAAAAGAUGAAAUGUUCUCUGAGAACCCUUUGAAGGGGAAAGCUCUAUAAAAUGUACUGAUUCAUUAGUUUAUUGAAGAGCGCUCUGGAUUGAGAAUCAGGGAGAUGGAGAUCUAAGCCCUCCCGUCCGCUUGGCCUCAAACUUGAUGUGUGACCUCGGGUCACACACUUAAAUUUUGUAGUCCUCAAUUUCAUCAAUAGCACAAUUCAGAGUUUGAACAAAGUGGUCCCCUACAGCUGUAAAAUUUUGUCCCAGUUACUUAUAUUAUUAUCCCAGUUACUGCUGCCUGAAAGACACAUACAUCUAAGGAAUCCCUGUGCCCCUGGAUUCCAGGGUGAUUGAGAGCCAGUGCCGAGGUUUGUUCCCUCAGCAUUGUUCCAAGCAAGUUCUAAAUUUGCACAUUGUACAGAAUCAUGAGCGAGCACACACACACACAGAGAAAGACAGAUGGCAACAAACAAACUUGCUAACCUUUAAGAACCCAGGAGUUUGAGGCUUCAGUGAGCUAUGAUCAUGUCACUGCACUCCGGCCUGGGUGACAAAGUGAGACCCUGUCUCUAAAACAAAUGGACAAAAAAAGAAUUCUACAACAAGGUGGACUGGGUAUCUGCUAUGGGUUGAAUUGUUUUCCCCCUGGGAAAAGAAAAUGUUGCUGUCCUACCCCCUAGCACCUGUGAAUGUGACAGUGUCUUAUUUGGAAAAAGAGUUGUUGCAGAUUUAAUCAAGUUAAGAUGAGGUUAUGGCCAGGUGUGGUGGCUCAUGCCUGUAAUCCCAGCACUUUGGNNNNNNNNNNGAUUACAGACGUGAGCCACGUCGCCCGGCCCAAUUCAUGUCUUUAUCACCUUUCCCCCUUUUAUUUUUUUUCCUUUUGGUGGAGAUGGUUUCCUCUUGCUGCUCCAGUCGAUCUCAAGGGAUCCGCCAGCUUGGGCCUCCCAAAAUGCCAAGGGAUCAGCCAACCAGCCUGGGCCUCUCACCACACCCAGCUCUCUCAUGUUUUUCAAUAGGCUCCUGGUUUCCCUGACUCUGGCCCUUCCUGUAAACCUAACAUAGUAAUCCAACAUUAAUUGUCCUUGUUUAAAAACGUUCCCUUGCUACCCAGUACAGAACAAAAUGAAACAAGUAAAAAAAACUGAAAAAAUUAAACUUGUGGCCAGAUGCAGCGGCUCAUGCCUGUAAUCCCAGCACUUUGGGAGGCCAAGGCGGACAAAUCACUUGAUGUCGGGAGUUCGAGACCAGCCUGACCAACAUGGAGAAACCCCGUCUCUACUAAAACUACAAAAAUUAGCCGGGCGUGGUGGUGUGCGCCUGUAAUCUUAGCUACUCAGGAGGCUGAGGCAGGAGAGUCGCUUGAACCCGGGAGGCAGAGGUUGCAGUGAGCAGAGAUUGCACCAUUACACUCUAGCCUGGGCAACAAGAGUAAAACUCAUCUAAAAAAUAAUAAUAAAAUAAAAUAAAUAAAAUAAAAAUCAAGUUUAAGAUGUUUUAAUCAACUUUCACAUCUACAACAUCAAUGACGUUCACUGUACACAGGCAAAUUCUAAAUAAUUAAGUAGUAUUGAAUAAUGAAAACAAUUGAGAGGGUCUCUCCUUGUAAGUGACAAUGCCAUCAGUCAGAUUUCCAUAAUAACUAACAUUUUACUGUGGGCUGUGUGCAAAUGAUUUGAACAUAACAUUUAUGUCUGAAAUAAAACUCUUCAAUUGCUUCUUCCACCAAGAAAAAAAAAAAGGCUGGGGAAAGAAAACAUCUAAUUUUAAUGCAACACUAAAUCCAAAGGCAGUACAGCUGUUUGGUUUUGGUUGUUUAGCUCAGCUGUUUUAUUCUGAGAAAAGCACAGCUGCCCUUUGAUGUUGUCUGUUAUUCAAGACUGUACUUUAGGAGGGUUAAAUGUAUGAGAGCUCACAGACCAUUGGUAGGUUUAGUUUCUCCUCUUGCUACAGUGCUAUUUAUUGGUCUUCCUUCUUCAAGUUUUAACAUAGCCUAUGUUAACAUAGGCUAUGUUAAAACUUGAAGGCAAACUCUUUCCCUUGAAUUUUGCCUUUCUCUUCAGAAUUCUGCUCCCAAGAGCAGCACUGUGGGUGGAAGGAUAAGUUAGUACUUUUUUUUUUAAGAACAAUUUUGAGAACCUAUUCAGAUUUAAAAUGACUUUUUUUAUUAUUUAUUUAUUUAUUUAUUUAUUUAUUUAUUUAUUUAUUUUAGAGACGGGGUUUCACUCUUGUUGCCCAGGCUAGAGUGCAAUGGUGAGAUCUCGGCUCACCGCAAACUCCGCCUCCCAGGUUCAAGCAAUUCUCCUGCCUCAGCGUCCUGAGUAGCUAAGAUUACAGGCGUGCGCCAACACAUCUGGCUUAUUUUUUUGUAUUUUUAGUAGAGAUGGAGUUUCACCAUGUUGGUCAGGUGGGUCUCAAACUCCUGACCUCAAGUGAUCCGCCCAUCUCCUCCCAAAGUGCUGGAUUGCAGGCAUGAGCGCCCAGCCAGGAAGCUAUCUUUUCUUGAGUUAUGAAACUUUGCAACAGUUGUUCAAAUUGGUGUUUGUCCUUCCUAUAGCUUUCAUAUUUGCAAAUUAAUUCUGUAUGGCUAUAUAAUUUAUGUUUUAAAGGCAAUUCUCUUGACUUUGGAAAUAUGGAAGUCUCUCCUUUAACCUAUUCUUGUUCCCAUUCCCAGUCUCAUUUGAAAUCAUUCCUUUUAUUGUUAGUGUGUGUAUUUUUGUUGGUGUGCUUUUAAUGCAUCCAAGUAUGCAUCAUUUUGGAUAAAAAAUACAUCCAAAUUAAGAUGUUUUAACACAUAGGACAAACUUGUGCACUUUUUAUGCCAAAAAAAAAAAUUGGGUUUUCCUUCAUGGGAUUUCUAGAAACACUGCCUACACUUUAUGAAAACUACAUAGUAUUCACCUGUGACAGGUAGAGUUUAUCACUAUUAAUUUUAUGAGGCUAUUUAUUACUUUCCAGUGCAUCCACUUAGAACAAGCUAAGAGUAAGGCUGCUAACUUUAAUUCCUUGCCUGAUUUUAUUGUACAAUGUGCACAAGCACAAUGGUAUGCUUGUAUAUAGAAACUAAAAAUACUAUGAAGUACAUAAGUUCCCUAUGGCUUAUGGAGAGUUAUUUAUUAAUUAACUUUAUGGUAGGGCUAGUAUGAAUACCUUUUUAACAAUUGUGUGCUAUUACAACAAUGAAGAUUCAAAUGACUCCGUUUUGAAGGAUGUUUUCUCUAUAUGGUAAAGUAUAUAUGAAGAAGUCUUGAUUACGUGAAGAUCACUUGACUCAGAAUACUUCAAUGUAUUUUGUUCACAUUACCACUAAGCAUAUUAUCAGUAAACUAUUAACUGACUGCACAUUAUGUAAUACGUUGUACUUUUUGUUGAAUUCACCGAAGUUCUUCCAUUUAUAUACUAUUUUUAAUGGCAUUCCGGCUUUAACAUUCUGUGAGUCUUAUAAAUUUGACUCUUGAAUGGCAAAAUAAUGUUAGUAUGUAGAAGGUUAACUUUCAUUUAUAAUAUAAGUGGUGCAGGGGUUCAACAUUUAAGUAAAAAUAUUCUUACACACUACCUCUCUCUCUUUUUUUUUAAAGUUUUAACAUCAGAACUUUUGGGGGAAAAACUACUUCAGGGCUUGACGUUUUGUACAAAUUUUAACUGUAAAAUACAGGUUUAUCUUGUACGCAUUCAUGGAAAUGGAAAUCAAAGCUGCUAGUGCUUUUUAUUUUAAUUAUCCUGUUAAGGGUAUCUAUCAAUGGUAUUUUCAAGUAGAUCUCUGUUUCUUGAAUUAUUGGUGAAAUAAUUGAUUACUAGAUAUAUUGUAAAACCAAUAGAUCCUGGUUAUACGAUAAAAUAUCAGCUCAUUGGUAGGCUGAAUCAAUUAUUUCAAGUGCACCUUAUUAACAAACGUAUCAGUGGAUCCAACAUAAAAUUUUAUAGUACUAAAUGUCAAGCCUAACUGUGAAUUUUGUUCUGUAUCUUAAGUAAAUUUAUGAUAAUGUUCUUGAGC
rnacentral:lncRNA from 1 species